UACGAAGGGGGCUAGCGUUGCUCGGAAUCACUGGGCGUAAAGGGUGCGUAGGCGGGUCUUUAAGUCAGGGGUGAAAUCCUGGAGCUCAACUCCAGAACUGCCUUUGAUACUGAGGAUCUUGAGUACGGGAGAGGUGAGUGGAACUGCGAGUGUAGAGGUGAAAUUCGUAGAUAUUCGGAAGAACACCAGUGGCGAAGGCGGCUCACUGGCCCGGUACUGACGCUGAUGUGCGAAAGCGUGGGGAGCAAACAGG
rnacentral:rRNA from 1 species